rnacentral:rRNA from 1 species
UACGUAGGGGCCGAGCGUUGUCCGGAGUUAUUGGGCGUAAAGCGCGCGCAGGCGGCUUCGCGCGCCCGACGUGAAAGCCCCCGGCUUAACCGGGGAGAGUCGUUGGGGACGGCGGAGCUUGAGGGCGGGAGAGGUCGGUGGAAUUCCCGGUGUAGUGGUGAAAUGCGUAGAGAUCGGGAGGAACACCUGUGGCGAAGGCGGCCGACUGGGCCGACCCUGACGCUGAGGCGCGAAGGCGUGGGGAGCGAACAGG